rnacentral:rRNA from 1 species
UACGAAGGGGCUAGCGUUGCUCGGAAUCACUGGGCGUAAAGGGUGCGUAGGCGGGUUUUAAGUCAGGGUGAAAUCCUGGAGCUCAACUCCAGAACUGCCUUUGAUACUGAAGAUCUUGAGUCUGGGAGAGGUGAGUGGAACUGCGAGUGUAGAGGUGAAAUUCGUAGAUAUUCGCAAGAACACCAGUGGCGAAGGCGGCUCACUGGCCCGGUACUGACGCUGAGGCACGAAAGCGUGGGGAGCAAACAGG